UGAUGAAUAAGCAGUGGAGCGGUGGCUCUGGAAGCGGUGCUGCGGUGCGCGCUGCGAUCAGCGCCGAGCGCGGUGGCUGGGAAUGAACGUGGGCAGCAAGCUGGCGUUUCCUAAUCCCUUCGAGUUUAGAAAUGUCCUUCCUGUUGGAAGCACGCCACCUGAACGCGAAAUCAAACCUACUCACCGGGUGAAAUUGCAGGAGGAGAAGCGGCUGUGAAUGAAACGCAUCCCGGCUCCGA